rnacentral:rRNA from 1 species
GGCGUGCUUAACACAUAGCAAGUCGAACGAGACGAUUGUAAAGCUUGCUUUUGAAAGUCGAGUGGCAAACGGGUGAGUAACGCGUAGACAACCUGCCUUUGAGAUGGGGACAACAGUCCGAAAGGACUGCUAAUACCGAAUGUUGUGGAACUUCCGCAUGGAAGCUCCACCAAAGAUGACCUCUUCCUGAAAGUUAUCGCUCAAAGAUGGGUCUGCGUCUGAUUAGCUAGUUGGUGGGGCAACGGCCUACCAAGGCGACGAUCAGUAGCCGGUCUGAGAGGAUGAACGGCCACAUUGGAACUGAGACACGGUCCAGACUCCUACGGGAGGCAGCAGUGGGGAAUCUUCCGCAAUGGGCGAAAGCCUGACGGAGCAACGCCGCGUGAGUGAAGAAGGCCUUCGGGUCGUAAAGCUCUGUUGUCGGGGACGAAUGUACGAGCUAUCAACAACAGCUUGUAAUGACGGUACCUGACGAGGAAGCCACGGCUAACUACGUGCC